rnacentral:misc_RNA from 1 species
AAUGCCUGAGAGCAAAGAAAGCUUGCCAAUGCCUCCUAGUCAACUCAGACCGCAUGAAAUAUUGAAGCAGGGUGUACUUAUGACAAUAAAUGACUUGAGUGGCGUCAGAAAUGAUUCGAAUGGAGUUACAUCUGCUAGCUCAAUAGUUAAUGCAGUUGGGAAGAAUUCAAAUGACUCUAAAAGUGACAUUCUUCAACACCUAAGACCACACCAAAAUCAUUCUCAGACUACUUUGGCAUCUGGUGUAUACACCUGUCAGAAGCAGGCUUUCAAUUUCUUGU